ensembl:rRNA 5S_rRNA 5S ribosomal RNA
GUCUACGGUCAUGCUACCCUGAACAAGCCCGAUCCUGUCUGAUCUCAGAAGCUACGCAGGGUUGGGCCUAGUUAGUACUUUGAUGGGAGACCACCUAGAAAGUUUUUACACCUAUAGCGU